ACUGCACAUGGGCAGAGCUUGGAGUUGAGGCCACUGGCUGGCUGAUGACUCACAAGUGUAGGUUGUGUGCUACAUGAGAGGCAAGUUUUUUGCUAACACCACAAGGGUCUCUGGUCCAAUGAGUAGAGUUAAUGGCAAGUCUUGCUACAGUU
rnacentral:snoRNA from 2 species